UACGUAGGGUGCAAGCGUUGUCCGGAAUUAUUGGGCGUAAAGAGCUCGUAGGCGGCUCGUCGCGUCGGCUGUGAAAACCUGGGGCUCAACCCCGGGCCUGCAGCCGAUACGGGCGAGCUAGAAUUCGGUAGGGGAGAUUGGAAUUCCUGGUGUAGCGGUGGAAUGCGCAGAUAUCAGGAGGAACACCGAUGGCGAAGGCAGAUCUCUGGGCCGUAACUGACGCUGAGGAGCGAAAGCAUGGGGAGCGAACAGG
rnacentral:rRNA from 1 species